GAUGUUAUUCUUGCUUGCUACCAAAAACGCUUUUUAUGUAUCUCGAUCGUUCUCAUCUCUCUUCGAUUCGGUGCAUGCACCUGCCAAAGGGGUGCUGCGAUUUGGGUCAUUCAUCCUUCACCUACGUCGUUCCUCUUGCUUCGGCGCAUGCAUCUUCGAGAUCCAGUAUCCCUUGCUUUCAAUCUUGAACAAUGCACUCCCUCACUUCGAUUCAUCUUUUCGGGGUAGUUUAAUUUCAUUUUUCGCCUUUGUUUUAGCUUUUGGGUUAGUUUUCUGCCUCUGCUAUCCCUUCUCUUUAUGUUCUUCUUCCAAGCAGAGAUUGAUGGUUAUUGAGGUGGUUUAAUUCCGUUCUGUUUUUGUCCUUUGUUUUGGGUUUGGGGUUUGUUUUCCGCCUCUGCCAUCCCUUCUCCCUCCAUGUUCUUCUUCCUCCAAAUAGACAUUGAUAGGUAUUGUUGGCACUAGGUCUAUCACAAUCUUGCAGUGGAAUCGGUUUGAGCUGCUGGCAGAGACGGGGCUCAACUUCUUCAAUCCAUUGUCCGACAAAUGUCUGGUGGGGUUCUCUCCACCAGGAUCAGCUCUCUCGAUGGGAAUGAAUUUAAGAUGACUCUCUCGACAAACUACUUAAUUUUGAGCGAUUAAUUUUUUUUGCUGUGUUCAUGGGUUUAAACUAACAGGAUACUGAAGAUUGUGCGUAUUGACGCCAAGUUCUACUUUGAAGGUUUAAAGGUGCUCUCAUUAUAGAAGGAGAUGCAAGAUCAGACCUCCCAAAUGUGCAAGAUUCGAAGCUAUGUCAUGGAUUCUCAAAGAACGAUACUUGGAUUUUGCUUCCAAACAGCUUAUUUGGCAGUCACAUAGAUGAAUCGAUUCCUUGCAGGGAGACCCACUAUUAUUGUAAGACCAACUUUAUACUUAUUAAUGCAAAUCAUUAAACACUUUCACUUCUAUGUUAUGUGUUUUUGCAAACUAUGCUGCUGCAACUCAAGUUGAUGAAAUGAAUUGAUGAUACGCAUCAUGGUGGGAAUCGGAGAGAUAUAGAAAGGAUGGAUUAAUCAAACAGUUGGCAUCCUCAGUUCUGCUAUAAGACAGAGUUUCAGAGUCAUGAGCCUGAGCUUUGGAUCCUUCUUCAGUAAAUGACGUUUGGUGAUGAUAAGGAUGAUGUGGGUGAGGUUACAUUUCCAUGUCAAUUUUCUAAUAUUCCACUUGCAAACCAAGUUGGGUGGCUUAGGUGAGUUUUCUUGCUUCUUGUAUCUUUUUUUUUGGUGUUUGAUCUGGGUUUCAUUUGCUCGACUUCUUUAGGCUUUCACGACUUUUAUUUGCUCAUUCCAUUGAUCAGGGUUUCCUCUGUAUGGGGCCUACGGGCAAUUGGGGUAUUUCGCUCUCCCACGUAGAGAUCUGCAGAUUUCUUCUUCUAACCUUUUCAAUAAGCUCUCUUCAACCUCUCUCUUCUCUCCUUUCUCGCCCCUCCAUUUUCUCUUCAACUUUUUUCCAUGUUUAUAAAUGUCUCGCAUGUGAUUGGGGUCUCUACUGUCAAGCUUGUCUUGUAGUGCAUCUUCUUCCAAGUCCUCCAUGACCAGUACCAAAUCCAAUACUUUGUCGUAGAUUCUGGCGUCGUCACUUGCCUUUGGAUAGGAGGGGUAACAGAGGAUGGGAUUGGGUCUCCUUCAUUUGCUGAGACCAACUUCACAAGUUUUUAUUCAUGGAAAACUGGGUUUUUAUUUAAUUUUUUUUUCUAAGUACAUUUAGCACCUGGAAGCACUUUUAAUUUACAAAAAUAUCUCCAAAGAUCACUACACAAUAACUUUAGGACAAUUAUGAGCGUAAGGUACUAACAAUAUUUUUUAGGUAAUUCAAUUAUAGAAGUUAGUUGAAGAAACUUUUACAAUUUAAUUUAUAACUUUUUUUUUUCUUUCAUGGUCUAGCAUUACGGUAAUACUUCUUUAGCAUUACGUUAUUUUUUAAAAUCCUACAAGAAGUGGUUAUUCAUUUUCUUUUCUUGAAAAUUAUGACUCUUCAUUUGUGUAGGAAGCCAAGAGCUGGAUCUCAAAGUUGUAGUUGUUGAGAUCCCUAAGACCAUCGAUAAUGACAUUCCAUAUUACGUAGAUACUCCUUUUUAUAAGAAAAACUCAGCUAAUAAGUAAAUAUAGUGCCAUAAAACUAUUGCUCAUAUAAUUUAAUUAUUUUUGCAUUUCAUUAACUUUAUUAAUGAUAUUUUGGGGGAUAUAUUUGUCAAAAUGGUUCGCUCAUUUUGAAUCAAAGUAACGUUCAUAUAUUUUCCCGCAUUCAAAUUAAAACACCGAUGUUCAUCAACACAGGGAACUGAUUCCACAACUGAUUUUGCACAUCUUCAAUUCUGAGGUACAUGUGAUCUCUUAUUGAUCUUUGUGCAUAACUUUUUUCAUCUUCACUGUUACAAUUAUAUCGAUGUUAUUGUUUUUAGUGUUUCCAAUUAUUGCCAUGCAUUUUCAUUUAUGUAUUCCAUAUUGUUGAGAAAUUUUUUUAAUUGCAUAUUGGCAUGCAUAUAUAAUUAUAGGAUGGAAUUUGGAGAAUCGAGUAGGGAUAAUAGAAAAAGGCGAAAAUGUUUGUUGGAUGAGCGAAAGAGGAACAUACCAUCAACAUCGAGUGCGACGCCUGCUACAAAACACAGUCAUGCUGCCAGUAAUUCUUCAGUUCAUGAGCUGUUGUCUCAUUCCUCUGUGCCUGCCACCGAACUGGAUUUGGUUCCGCUGAAUUUUAGUCAUCCAUUGUGAAGAAAUACUGAAAUAAUCAGUGAAGAAAAAACCAUCCAAGCUGAGACUGAGGAUGGAGAAGUCCAUAAUUAUUAGCCAUUCUUCGGCUAUUACAGGUGGUUGGGUUGUUUUGGCUUCUUGCUGCGUUGUUGAUUCCUGUCCAGUCAAUCAUUGUUUCGUCGGGUAGAUGCAUGAAUCUUCAGAUGCCGAAAAUUCCAAAUUUCCAUUAAGUUCUUCCUCGCUUGCGUUUUGAGCUCACAAAUUUAUGUGGUUCAUGUAACCACAAAUUGCUCGUGCGUCUUGAUCUCUUCCUAACUCAAUUAACUCCUCUCAGGCCUAAUUCAAUUCACUCUCCAGAACCCUCAUUCUCCACUAUUCUCUCUAAAUAUCAUAAGGUAUUAUCAGUCGUGCCCUUAGAGGUUUUGGUGCGGAGGCCCAGGAUUAAGGGAUUAACUUUCUUACUCUUUUUAAUUUUAUGAGUCCUUAUUUAAAUGAGUUUCUCUGAAAUUGUUCUUACUGUAGUAGGAGAUAAUAGUUGUUGAACUUUGCAACGGAAAUGAUUCUAAUAGAUCAGUCACUGAUUUUCGGCUAUAUCAUUCACUGAUAUUCUAUGCUUUUCCCUAGGUUUGAAACUAAAAAUGCAGGGAAAUUAACUUGGAAGUUAUGAUCCAAAGGGAUGUUUCAGUAAAUAACUUUCACUGUUCAUUGCAAUCAGCAAACAGUGAAAAACAUAGACAAUAGAAGUGUUAGAAAUAUAGCAUGGUGUAAGGAUCAAUUGGCUAAACUUACUUUGGAUGCUCUGAGACAUCUGCAAUGCCAGCUUCAUUAUUAUGAACAAAAUCCAAGCAUCAACAAAGACAUUGAAGGAGAAGAAACUAAGGACAGUGUUGAUACUUUCAUCCCCACAACAAAUAAUGGAAGAUUCUACAUACCCAUCAUAGAAGACAUUUUCCGUAUAAGAGAAGUUCUAAUCUACGGCGAAAAAAGACUGGAAAACAAUAUUGAGAUUGGAGAUAAUAGCAAUGAUUCUCCGGUACAGAGAAACGACAACAUCUCACACACUUCCAAAAGGAAAAGAGAAUGAUCCAAGUUGAGGAAAACGAAAAUAUGGUUUUUGCGUUUCACUUAAAAGUACAGAGGUUAAUGUCUUCAUAUAUAUACUUUUGACACAUGGGAUGAUGCUAACAUGGAAAAAACGACCACAUGAAUGGCCAUUCCAGAAAACGUCAGUUGAUGAAUUUUGUGUUUGUAAAUAGUUUAUAUACCUCUUUAAGAACAGUUUUAUCUAUAUAUAGACUAUAAAAGUAUGUAUAAAAUAUCAGAGUGUUUAUGGUACAACCAUAAAAGGAAAUCAACUUCUUAUUAACCAUGUACCUGCCUAUUGUGAAUGUACUUGCCUAUUCUCUAAGAAGCGCACGUUGGGUA